AUCCUUUUUGUGGUUCAUAAGUGUGAUGACUGGGUUGCUCACACAGCUUUGUGAGAUGUGCCUCCCUCUAAACCUUGUUACCAUGCCGGCACAUGACCUGACGUGAAA